rnacentral:rRNA from 1 species
CGGGUGAGUAAUGUAUGGGGAUCUGCCUGAUGGAGGGGGAUAACUACUGGAAACGGUAGCUAAUACCGCAUAACGUCGCAAGACCAAAGAGGGGGACCUUAGGGCCUCUUGCCAUCGGAUGUGCCCAGAUGGGAUUAGCUAGUAGGUGGGGUAAUGGCUCACCUAGGCGACGAUCCCUAGCUGGUCUGAGAGGAUGACCAGCCACACUAGAACUGAGACACGGUCCAG